rnacentral:rRNA from 1 species
GACGAACGCUGGCGGCGUGCCUAAUACAUGCAAGUUGAGCGAUGAAGCUUGGUGCUUGCACCAAUUUGAAGAGCAGCGAACGGGUGAGUAACGCGUGGGGAAUCUGCCUUUGAGCGGGGGACAACAUUUGGAAACGAAUGCUAAUACCGCAUAACAACUUUAAACAUAAGUUUUAAGUUUGAAAGAUGCAAUUGCAUCACUCAAAGAUGAUCCCGCGUUGUAUUAGCUAGUUGGUGAGGUAAAGGCUCACCAAGGCGAUGAUACAUAGCCGACCUGAGAGGGUGAUCGGCCACAUUGGGACUGAGACACGGCCCAAACUCCUACGGGAGGCAGCAGUAGGGAAUCUUCGGCAAUGGACGAAAGUCUGACCGAGCAACGCCGCGUGAGUGAAGAAGGUUUUCGGAUCGUAAAACUCUGUUGGUAGAGAAGAACGUUGGUGAGAGUGGAAAGCUCAUCAAGUGACGGAAACUACCCAGAAAGGGACGGCUAACUACGUG